GUAACACAGAGGAGCUGAUAUCCUCUUUCACGGGCAAUCAAACCCUUCUGUCUAUAAUUUGGACCCAUCAUCAUCAACAUGCAAAACAAACUUCGACUCUGUUCAUGAUGAGGACAGAUACUGGAACAGUGACAUGCUUGACAAUCACUUCCUCUGGAGACUACAUGGCCUGCAGAGCUUUAUGGGGAAUGUUACAUCAACAACUCUGCCUAAACGCAGUAAGAGGAUGAGGACACUGAUGUUUAUGAGCUGUGGCUGCUGCCAUCUCCUGGAACAACCAAAGAAUUGUAUUUUGAUAUGCCCAAAGACGUUUAGUGUGUUUGAGGACUGGUGACUGCCAAGACUCAACCACAAAACUUUUGGCCAAAAAUGGACAACAUGCCUUUGGUCUGAUCCUGCACAAGUCAUCAAUAAGAAAUUGGUCAAACAUCCCUUCACCAUUUCUGCUUCAGUAAAUUAAAUUAUAAAUUUAAAGCCUUUAACGUUAAACAUUUUAGAUUUGCUCUUUUCUAAGUCUGAAAAACUGCUACUGUUCUACAUAAGCUACCAUGUGCUCCAGUAUAAACUUAAAGGAGCAUAGUCAGAAUUUGAUGUACUGGUUAAAAGAUUGAAACAAUUCAGAUUAUACCAGAAACAUUCAUGUUUUGUUGUUUCAUUUUCCCUAAAACAUGUGACAAAAGCUGACCAAAUGUGUGAUUGAUGAUAUUCACAUAUAUCACAAUGUUUUACACGACCCGGCCUUAUAUCGUUUAUAUAUAUGGGAGUGCUGUAUCUUCAAAAAUGUAAGCAUUUAUUAUUAUUUAAUCUGUGGUUUAGUAAUUUAGAUAAAUUCUGUCACUUCUUUCAUAAGCCUAUUCAUCAGCAGUGACAGCUAAUAUGUGAGUGAACUUUUUUAAAUUCCUGUGCAGACAAGGAUGGGACUUCUGUUAAACAAACCCUCAUAUUCUCAAACAUUGUACAUGUGGGUAUAUGACUGUAUUAAUGUAGCUUGCAUGUCCUAUGCUGGUGGACCCCCAUGGUGAUAUCGCCGUCAAAGCAGCUGCCAUGACUACCGCCCCUCCCACCGUCAGCUCACCCUGUUGCUGUGGCUGUCCACAGCAACCUGGGAAAUUUCUGGUCCCUUUCAUCUUCCAGUACCACCCCAGUGGAGCAUUGGACAACUGGUAGCACUACUGUCAACACCUCCCUGUACAUGCCACGAACAGCUCAGCUUAGCCUUGUGGCAAACAUAGCGCAGAUUAGCAUGCCAGCAGCUUUCUUCCCAAACAUCUCUGACAGCAUUAGCUCAUGCUAAGUCAAGGGCGUAUGUCAGAGCCAGCUGUCAAGUGGAGGGAAUUCCUAGUGCUUCACUCAAGGUCGCUCCCACCAUUCAAAGCAAUGGUGCUCUGUCAUGGCUCCCACGCUAGGUGUUAACUCGGUAUCGCUAACAGUUUAGCUUGGAUGUCCUGGCAUGUUUGAAAGAGGGUCUUAACUGGUGCUUUACAUUCACGCAGAAGGGCCACAGUGUGUGAUCAUCACCUGUCACACAACACAGUGUGUCUUAUGAGGAGGUCACAGCAGAGGCAACUGGGAUAGAGGAAACUGCUAACCUGCUAUUUAUGGAAAAAAAAUGUCUUAAACACAGAUGACCUCAAGGUAACCCCUUCAUGGAUAAGGCUGGAAUUGAAUAAAAUGAUUAUACUUCCAACAGAUAUUGUUCAUGGCCAUAGCCUAAUAAACCUUACUCCAUUGUUAUCCAAAAACUAUUAAAUACACAUCACUGGGUCACAUCAUUGCACUGGGUAAAAUAUUCCUUUAUUACCAUGGACAUGGGCACUGUAGUUUAUUCUGAGUUAAUCCCACAGACACUGUCCUGAAGCACUGGAGUAGGUGCUAGAACACCAUAUGCAUAUGGAUCUGCUGAUUAGAUACUCCUGUGUGAGGAGUUUUUUCCUUCAAAAUACAGUGCCCAGCUGUUAUAGGAAAUUACCCAGCUUCUGAAACUAUACUGUACAUUUGUGACAUUCCUCAAAGAAUGACAUCUUCAGUUGGAACAGAUGUGUGUAAAAUGAUAUGCAAGACAUCUAUAAUAUUUCCUUGAUUAAAUUAUGCAACCA